rnacentral:rRNA from 1 species
GGUAUGAAUGGCUAAACGAGAAAUAGACUUUUUUUGUUAUAAAAAUUGAAUUUAAUUUUUUAGUGAAAAAGCUAAAAUUUUUCAGAAAGACGAGAAGACCCUAUAGAGUUUUAUGUAGUAUUAUUAUUUUUCUUAUUUGAUUUUUUCAGAUUUAUAUUAAGAAAACAUUUUGUUGGGGCGACAUUAAGAUAUAAAAAACUCUUUAUUUUUUAGAUUUUCAUGGAAAAUCAGCUUGAUCCUUUAGAAAAGAUCAAAAGAAAAAAUUACCUUAGGGAUAACAGCGUAAUCUUUUUUGAGAGUUCUAAUCGACAAAAAGGUUUGCGACCU